rnacentral:rRNA from 1 species
GAUGAACGCUGGCGGCGUGCUUAACACAUGCAAGUCGAACGAUGAAGCCCAGCUUGCUGGGUGGAUUAGUGGCGAACGGGUGAGUAACACGUGAGUAACCUGCCCCUAACUCUGGGAUAAGCCUGGGAAACUGGGUCUAAUACCGGAUAGGAGCGUCCACCGCAUGGUGGGUGUUGGAAAGAUUUAUCGGUUUUGGAUGGACUCGCGGCCUAUCAGCUUGUUGGUGAGGUAAUGGCUCACCAAGGCGACGACGGGUAGCCGGCCUGAGAGGGUGACCGGCCACACUGGGACUGAGACACGGCCCAGACUCCUACGGGAGGCAGCAGUGGGGAAUAUUGCACAAUGGGCGCAAGCCUGAUGCAGCGACGCCGCGUGAGGGAUGACGGCCCUCGGGUUGUAACCCUCUUUCAGUAGGGAAGAAGCGAAAGUGACGGUACCUGCAGAAGAAGCACCGGCUAACUACGUG